CACGUAGGCGGAUUGUUAAGCCAGGGGUGAAAUCCUGGAGCUCAACUCCAGAACUGCCUUCGAUACUGGCGAUCUUGAGUCCGGGAGAGGUGAGUGGAACUGCGAGUGUAGAGGUGAAAUUCGUAGAUAUUCGCAAGAACACCAGUGGCGAAGGCGGCUCACUGGCCCGGUACUGACGCUGAGGUGCGAAAGCGUGGGGAGCAAACA
rnacentral:rRNA from 1 species